UUUUUAAUGAAAUAAUAUUAAAUAAAGUCUGCUCAAUGAAAUAAAUAGCCGCAGAAAAUUUACUGUGCUAAGGUAGCAUAAUCAUUUGUCUUUUAAUUAAAGACUAGAACGAAUGGCUUAACAAUUAAAUAAUUUUUUUCCCUAUAAAAUUUUAAUUUAACUUAAGCAUAAAAAUAUGCUUAUAAAUAUAAUAGACGACAAGACCCUAUUGAACUUAACUGAUGUUAAGCUGGGGAAGCUAAAUAAUAAUUAUUUUAUUAAUUUAUUUAUAAUAAAAACCUCAAUACAAGUAAAUAUAAUCAAGUUACCAUAGGGAUAACAGCGUAAUAAUUUUCUAAAGCUCUUAUUUAAAAAAAAGUUUACGACCUCGAUGUUGAAUUAAUUUUCCUUUCUAGCGCAAGCGCUAAAACAAGUUAAGUCUGUUCGACUUUACAAAAU
rnacentral:rRNA from 1 species